rnacentral:rRNA from 1 species
AUUGAACGCUGGCGGCAGGCCUAACACAUGCAAGUCGAGCGGAUGAAGGGAGCUUGCUCCUGGAUUCAGCGGCGGACGGGUGAGUAAUGCCUAGGAAUCUGCCUGGUAGUGGGGGAUAACGUCCGGAAACGGGCGCUAAUACCGCAUACGUCCUGAGGGAGAAAGUGGGGGAUCUUCGGACCUCACGCUAUCAGAUGAGCCUAGGUCGGAUUAGCUAGUUGGUGGGGUAAAGGCCUACCAAGGCGACGAUCCGUAACUGGUCUGAGAGGAUGAUCAGUCACCUGGGAACUGAGACACGGUCCCGACCCCUACGGGAGGGAGGGGGGGGGGAUAUUGGACAGGGGGCGAAAGCCUAAUCCAGCCAGGCCGGGGGGGGGAAGAAGGUCUUGGGUUUGUAAAGCAUUUUAAGUUGGGGGGAAGGGCAGUAAGUUAAUGCCUUGUUGUUUUGGAGUAACCAACAGAAUAAGCACCGGCAAACUGGUG